AGAGUUGGACUGUAGAUGUUUGAAAAAAACAUAUGUAUAAAUAAAUGAAUUUUUGAUAACUGGUAGCUUGGUAAGGGAAUGCCA
rfam:Rattus norvegicus chromosome 4, whole genome shotgun sequence.